rnacentral:lncRNA from 1 species
UACCCCCCAAAGUUCCGCCAGCAUCACAUCCCGACUGCGCUUUGCCCCGCGUGGAACCACCCUAAAGCACGCCCCGCGCUGCUUUCUCAGCCCUACUUCCCUCCUGAGAGCUGCUCGGUAAGCCCGGCUGUGGGGCCGUCACAGACCCCCGCCAGGAGCGAGCCCACCUUGGGCAUCUGGGAAGGUUCCAGAAGCGCGGUGUGGCCGUGGGAGCGCCCCACGCGCCCACCUCCUGCUGGGGGCUGCGCCGGGGAGGGGUCUGUCAGGAUCCAGCCCCAACGCCGGGCGACCCAGGAGGUGGUGGUCCCAUCGCUGGGCGUCUGUGGGGCCGUGACAAGGGCUCGGCUCCCCUUGGGCACCAUCCGGGCUCUGGCUGUAGGUCGGAGCGGUCACAGAACCUGAACACCACCUGAAUGUGGUUUUUGCCACGCCGCUCGCACCGGGGUGGUUAUAAGACAUCCGUGUUGCUGAAGGAAGCCAAAAAGGAUGGGAGUUGGUGAUGCUUCCUUUCAACAAGCCCCUUCCUCCUGCAGCGUUGCAGCAACAGCUGCCUGCCCAGCGUAGAUGUUAAAAACCCUUGAUGCAGCAGGACGGGGUGGUUCUGCUCUCUAAUAAGCUAGAUAAAUUACACAGAAUUGGCCAAGAGGGGCCAUCAUCUUGGAGGAGAAAGGGAACAAGAGUGUUUGAGGAGACCUUGAUUUCAAACGUUGACGUGCGAGUCUGCCGUUUGCCCUAACCAAGCACCUCCUGAAGGUGUGAAAUACAUGGCUUAAAGCCUUUUUUCCCCCACGGAGCUUUGGCGGGAAGGAAAUGGUUAUUCAGAACUGUGCGUUUCACGUGUUUCUUAAGCGGUCUUUCCUAUCGAUGGUGUAGCCCUAAUAUUAAAAUACCUGGAACGCGUGUCUCUGCACCUCGCAUACCGCAUUUAAAAACGAGAGCAUCAUGGGCGAAAUCCUAGGUGGUAGGUCUGGGGAAGGGUGGGGUGUUUUACGGCUCCAACCCGCCUGGCAGGUGAAUAACGUCUUCCCAAAUACCUGGGUCUUGCAGGUCUCCACCAUGGCUGGCGCCGCCAGGGCUGCCCUCCCACAUGCGGCUCGGUGCGACGCGUGCUGCUUUUGUUGGCUUCGCAAAUGGGCAGGGGAAAGAAAAAAGAUUGUUUGA